UUACUUCAUCCUCCCAUAAGGUUUGUUGGGUCCAUGGGGUGAACCCUUACAUGUAUGUGAGCCUUGGACAUCAGGUUCUGAAAUGCCACCAUGGUACAGACAAGAAUAAGAAGAAAAAAAUGGAAAAGGAAAAGACAAAGACAUUUAGCAGUGAGCAGCACUCGUAUGCUAAAAAGAAAACAAGGCAUGCAUUGCAGCCCUCCAAAAAAUGGACUGUCCUGCUUCGAUCAUUCUGAAGGAAGUGUUGAUAUUCACCCAUGAAGAGGGUUCAUCAAGCGAGCUGGACAAAAAAAUGGCUGCUUCUAAUGUGAGGAGUGAUCUGAGUAAAGGCAUCAAGAAGAUAAUGGUGGUGUUUCCUAACGUCGAACACAAGUACCAUACCAGUGGAGAGGUACUGAUAUGUAAAGUAACACUCUGUGAAGUUAAAUUUCUGUUGUUUCAUUUGCUGUAACAUGCAAACAAAGUUGUCAACAAUUGCCCCAUCAUGGGGAUUUCUUGUUAACCUGGCACGUAAUAAUUUAAAAAAAUGUAAAAAGCUUUUGAAUUUGAU